CCUACGGGAGGCAGCAGUGAGGAAUAUUGGACAAUGGGUGAGAGCCUGAUCCAGCCAUCCCGCGUGAAGGACGACUGCCCUAUGGGUUGUAAACUUCUUUUGUACAGGGAUAAACCCAGAUACGUGUAUCUGGCUGAAGGUACUGUACGAAUAAGCACCGGCUAACUCCGUGCCAGCAGCCGCGGUAAUACGGAGGGUGCAAGCGUUAUCCGGAUUUAUUGGGUUUAAAGGGUCCGUAGGCGGAUCUGUAAGUCAGUGGUGAAAUCUCACAGCUU
rnacentral:rRNA from 1 species